rfam:Oligella urethralis DNF00040 contig011, whole genome shotgun sequence.
UAAUCCUGCGUAGACAUAAGUAAGAGGAACAGUCAUGGCCCGUAUUGCAGGCAUUAACAUUCCGCCG